UCCCCCUCCCACCCUCCUUCCUCGGCUUCCCGCUCCCUCCCCCGCCCGCCCUGCGCAGCCAGCAGGGAUUGCUGCCCGGAGCUCCUCGGGAGCCUCAGGUGGCAAAUUCUUACUCUGUGGACGAUAGGAGAGUGUUUGUGAGAAGAAAGUAUGCCUCCCAAGUUCAAGCGACACCUAAAUGAUGAUGAUGUUACCGGGUCUGUGAAAAGUGAAAGGAGAAAUCUUUUGGAAGACGAUUCAGAUGAAGAAGAGGACUUUUUUCUACGGGGACCAUCUGGACCAAGAUUUGGGCCUAGAAAUGAUAAAAUUAAGCAUGUUCAGAAUCAGGUGGAUGAAGUUAUUGAUGUAAUGCAAGAAAAUAUUACAAAGGUAAUUGAGAGAGGAGAGAGACUAGAUGAACUGCAGGACAAAUCAGAAAGCUUAUCGGAUAAUGCAACUGCUUUCAGCAACAGAUCCAAACAACUCCGAAGGCAAAUGUGGUGGCGUGGAUGCAAAAUAAAAGCCAUCAUGGCUUUGGCUGCAGCUAUCCUUUUGUUAAUGAUUAUCAUUCUUAUAGUUGUGAAAAACCGUACUUGAUUUGGUGACAGAGAUCCUCAUUAAACAAGAUCUGGGACAAUAAUAAUUAAAGAUUGCUGCAUAAUUUAAAUGAAAUCUAUGUAUAUAACUUUCAAAUUUUCUUUUUCAAGAAACUAAAAGCUCAGAUCAUCCUGCACUUGAAAAAAUGAAGUUUUACCACCAUCAAACCUAUCAUUAUUUAACAACAAUGAAGAUCAACAGAAAAAUUCAAGUAGCUUUGCUAAUGUUAGUUGAUGCCCAGUGAAAUCAGGCCACUACUUCCAUGCCUGAAUCGUGCCCUUUGUGAUUUGUCUAACAGAAGCCUCUUUCCUUGCAGCAGUUGUGGUGAAUGGGUUCUUCCAAUUCAGUGGCCUUUGAUUCCUUUGUCAGAACAAAACCCAUUGGAAAUUGUCCCAAAAUUUUAUAAGCUGGGAAAUUUACUGAUUAAAAGAAGGUCCACUAUUGAUGAUGGGACAUUGUUUAAAACGGAGAAAGAGUAAUACACAUCAGGUACAGAGGUACCUGUGACUGUCAUUGCAGUUCAUUACUGGUCUCUGUGUUAGAAAGUACUGUUGGCCUUUUAGUAGCAGACCAACACCUUUCUGUUCUGGGUAGCAUGCGGGUACCCUGUAAAUACACACAUACACAGGCUGAGGAUCCAUAUGUGGGAAGAGCUUGGUAUCUCUUCUUGCCAUUUCCACAUGUGCUGUGUCCUUGUCAGCACCAGAGCCCAGAUAGAUUUGUAUUCACAACUUGUAUAUAAUUUAUGGUUAGACAAUAUGCAAGAAUUCUUUUCAGUGAUGAACAUAAAUGUCAUUAGUUGUAUUGAGUCAGUGUUAACUAAGUUAAGAACUGUACUAUCGAUCAAAUUUUGUGUUUUCACAUAGAAAUGUUAUUAGUCAAUUUUCUGUGAGUGGUACUAAGAGCAUGAGUUCAUCUAAGCACAUGUUUUGGGAAGGCAGUUGCCAUAGAACAAUGUAAAGACAAUGGGUCAGAAGGAUCAAAAAAGGGCCAUCUCAAUUCAUACAAAUGCCACCCUCCCUUCGACUGAUGGGAGCCUAUUUUGUGUGUCUUGCUUUUUAGACUAGGUGACCCAGGCUGGCCUCAAACUCAUAGAGAGCCACCAGCCUCUGCCUCCCAAGUGCUGGGAUUAAAGGUAUGUGCCACCAUGCCCUGCAGGCUUCUUCUUUUUGAUCAAAGAAAGAAUUCUUGGGCCCAAGUGAUCUUUCCAACUUACUCUCAAAAGUAGCUGAGAUACACGUGGGCACCACCAUGUGCAGAUGGGCCUUCUCUUUAAGCCUGAUGUUAGUCUUAUUCAGAUAUUUAUUUUCAUAUGUCAAGUAGAAUAAGGGAUGGGAGCACACUUUUUUCUGGCUCUUGUUUUAUUUUAUAAAACUACUUAGAACAAGUGAGUACGGAUGAAAAGAAAAACAUUGCUAUUCCAGUUGGGAUGAGUGUAAGCUUGUGAAACAAGGACUGUGCCCUGUGUGUCUCUCAGCAGUGCAGUACCCUGGCAAACACUGGACAAAGGUGUGUGCCGGAGUGGGGGUGGGGUGCUCCAGAAGUCACACUGUGCUGGUGUGAGAGCUGAUUUCCAAUGUGUACUUGAGAGGUCACAUGAGAGACCUAGGUGAUUAUCUAGAGAUAAACAUGUUCUUGUUAUAAUUGAUUAUAGAAAACUUCUGGUUUUACAGUGUUGCAGUAGCUUCUUUUCACUUGAAAAGAUUAUGAAAUAAAAUAUUAUUUUAAAGCUGUAAAUUGCACAUGUCCAAGGAUUUAGUAAAAUAUUAGUGAUAAGAAAUUUCAAGCAUUGCUUUUAUGUCUUAGUUGUAUGUCCUUUUUUUUUUCAUCCCACAAUUCCCGAUUUAACCAUUUUGGCAAGUGCCUUCGACAUUUUAGGAGUAUGAUGGGAGAUGAGCAAAUGUUAGAUGCCAUGCCCCUUUUUCUGGCUUCUCAAUUCCUCAUGACCAUUUAUGUUUUGCAGUGCUACAAAGUUCAGUCCUUUGUUUUUAUAUGGAAUGUAUUUGUAGCUUCUCCAUAGUAAACAGCAAAAUAAACCAUUUUGUAGAAAAUGAAAA